CCCCUGGAGGACUAGAGGUUAGGCCUCGGCGCUCUCACCACUGCAGCCCUGGUUCAAAUCCCAGCCAGGGAA